rfam:TPA: Bos taurus chromosome 26, whole genome shotgun sequence.
UCCCUGGUGGCUCUGAUGGUUAAGAGCCUGCCUGCAAUGCAGGAGACCUGGGUUCAAUCCCUGGGUUGGGAA